rnacentral:rRNA from 1 species
UAAUACAGAGGGUGCAAGCGUUAAUCGGAAUCACUGGGCGUAAAGGGUGCGUAGGUGGUUGAAUAAGUCAGAUGUGAAAUCCCUGGGCUCAACCUAGGCAUUGCAUUUGGUACUGUUCAGCUAGAGUGCAGUAGAGGAAUGUGGAAUUUCCGGUGUAGCGGUGAAAUGCGUAGAUAUCGGAAGGAACAUCAGUGGCGAAGGCGACAUUCUGGACUGUAACUGACACUGAGGCACGAAAGCGUGGGGAGCGAACAGG